UGCAGUCCUGUAGCUCAGCGGUUAGAGCGCUCGCCUCGCAAGCGAGAGGACCUGGGUUCGAUUCCCAGCAGGGCAA
rnacentral:tRNA from 1 species